UACGUAGGGCGCAAGCGUUGUCCGGAAUUAUUUGGCGUAAAGAGCUCGUAGGCGGCCUGUUACGUCUGCUGUGAAAUCCCGGGGCUUAACCCCGGGCGUGCAGUGGAUACGGGCAGGCUGGAGGCAGGCAGGGGAGAACGGAAUUCCCGGUGUAGCGGUGAAAUGCGCAGAUAUCGGGAGGAACACCGGUGGCGAAGGCGGUUCUCUGGGCAUGUACUGACGCUGAGGAGCGAAAGCGUGGGGAGCGAACAGG
rnacentral:rRNA from 1 species